UACGUAGGGGGCUAGCGUUGUCCGGAUUUAUUGGGCGUAAAGAGCGUGUAGGCGGCUUGGCAAGUCUGGUGUGAAAUCUUGCGGCUCAACCGCAAGCGGUCACUGGAAACUGCCUCGCUAGAGUCCGGAAGAGGAGAGCGGAAUUCCUGGUGUAGCGGUGGAAUGCGUAGAUAUCAGAAGGAACGCCGGUGGCGAAAGCGACUCUCUGGCUCGUAUCUGACGCUGAGGCGCGAAAGCUUGGGUAGCAAACGUG
rnacentral:rRNA from 1 species